rnacentral:rRNA from 1 species
GUGACACAGGAGGAUAGGAAGAGCACGGAGUUGGUAUACCGUGUCCAAGCAUCGAGGCUGGUCAGUAGGAAAGACCGCUGACCGAUAAGGCUGAGGUGUGAUGGGGAGCGAAAUUAGAGUAGCGAAGAAUCCGAUUUCACACUGUCAAGAAAAGCUGCUAACGAGAUAUCAGGUGCCCGCACCGCAAACCGACACAGGUAGAUGAGGAGAGAAUCCUAAGAUGAGCGAGAGAAGCGUUGUUAAGGAACUCGGCAAAAUAACCCCGUAACUUCGGGAGAAGGGGUGCCAGGGAAACCUGGCCGCAGAGAAAUGGCCCAAGCGACUGUUUAGCAAAAACACAGGUCUCUGCUAAAUCGAAAGAUGACGUACAGGGGCUGACGCCUGCCCGGUGCUGGAAGGUUAAGGGGAAAGCUUAGCGCAAGCGAAGGUUUGAACUUAAGCCCCAGUAAACGGCGGCCGUAACUAUAACGGUCCUAAGGUAGCGAAAUUCCUUGUCAGGUAAGUUCUGACCCGCACGAAUGGCGUAACGACUUGGGCACUGUCUCAACAACGCGCUCGGCGAAAUUGUAGCACUAGUGAAGAUGCUAGUUACCCGCGAUUGGACGGAAAGACCCCGUAGAGCUUCACUGCAGCUUGACAUUGGGUUUUGGUAUUUCAUGUACAGGAUAGGUGGGAGACAGAGAAGCAGUAACGCCAGUUACUGUGGAGUCGACGUUGGGAUACCACUCUUGAGAUACCGGAAUUCUAACCAGUGGCCAUGGAACUGGUCAUGGGACAUAGUCAGGUGGGCAGUUUGACUGGGGCGGUCGCCUCCCAAAGAGUAACGGAGGCGUCCAAAGGUUCCCUCAGAAUGGUUGGAAAUCAUUCGGAGAGUGCAAAGGCAGAAGGGAGCCUGACUGCGAGAGAGACAACUCGAGCAGGUACGAAAGUAGGGCUUAGUGAUCCGGUGGUACCGAGUGGAAGGGCCAUCGCUCAACGGAUAAAAGCUACCUCGGGGAUAACAGGCUUAUCUCCCCCAAGAGUCCACAUCGACGGGGAGGUUUGGCACCUCGAUGUCGGCUCGUCGCAUCCUGGGGCUGAAGUAGGUCCCAAGGGUUGGGCUGUUCGCCCAUUAAAGCGGCACGCGAGCUGGGUUCAGAACGUCGUGAGACAGUUCGGUCCCUAUCCGUCGCGGGCGUAGGAAAUUUGAGGAGAUCUGUCCUUAGUACGAGAGGACCGGGAUGGACGAACCACUGGUGUAUCAGUUGUCCUGCCAAGGGCAUGGCUGAGUAGCCAAGUUCGGAACGGAUAAGCGCUGAAGGCAUCUAAGCGCGAAACCGACUCCAAGAUAAGAUUUCCCACAGCGUAGGCUGGUAAGACCCCAUGUAGACUACAUGGUAGAUAGGUCGGAGGUGUAAGCACAGCAAUGUGUUCAGCUGACCGAUACUAAUAGGUCGAGGGCUUGAGC